UUCUUAUCAAGAGUGACGGAGGGAUAGGCCCUAUGAAGUCCGGCAACAUCCAUGUAUUUGGAAAUGUGCUAAUUCCUACAGGUUUAUCCUGAGAGAUGAGAA
rnacentral:ncRNA from 2 species